GACGAACGCUGGCGGCGUGCUUAACACAUGCAAGUCGAACGGUGAACCUCUUCGGAGGGGAUCAGUGGCGAACGGGUGAGUAACACGUGGGCAACCUGCCCCCGGCUCUGGGAUAACUCCAAGAAAUUGGGGCUAAUACCGGAUGUUCACUGCUUCCCGCAUGGGUGGUGGUGGAAAGGGUUUCCGGCUGGGGAUGGGCCCGCGGCCUAUCAGCUUGUUGGUGGGGUAGUGGCCUACCAAGGCGACGACGGGUAGCCGGCCUGAGAGGGUGACCGGCCACACUGGGACUGAGACACGGCCCAGACUCCUACGGGAGGCAGCAGUGGGGAAUAUUGCGCAAUGGGCGGAAGCCUGACGCAGCGACGCCGCGUGGGGGAUGACGGCCUUCGGGUUGUAAACCUCUUUCAGCAGGGACGAAGCGCAAGUGACGGUACCUGCAGAAGAAGCGCCGGCCAACUACGUG
rnacentral:rRNA from 1 species